GGGAUAAUGAGUGGAAGCAUAUGAGCAGGUCGACCCGCGCAAGGAGAGAUUGCUGAUGGCGUAAGGUAGGUAGAUUCCGUAAAGAUUAUCAGCGUGAUAGGUUCGAGGUGGAAGCAUGGUGACAUGUGGAGCUGACGAAUACUAAUAGAUCGAGGACUUAACCAUA
rnacentral:rRNA from 1 species